AGCGAACGCUGGCGGCAGGCCUAACACAUGCAAGUCGAACGAACCUUUCGGGGUUAGUGGCGGACGGGUGAGUAACACGUGGGAACGUGCCUUUAGGUUCGGAAUAACUCAGGGAAACUUGUGCUAAUACCGAAUGUGCCCUUCGGGGGAAAGAUUAAUCGCCUUUAGAGCGGCCCGCGUCUGAUUAGCUAGUUGGUUGAGGUAAUGGCUCACCAAGGCGACGAUCAGUAGCUGGUCUGAGAGGAUGAUCAGCCACAUUGGGACUGAGACACGGCCCAAACUCCUGCGGGAGGCAGCAGUGGGGAAUCUUGCGCAAUGGGAGAAAGCCUGACGCAGCCAUGCCGCGUGAAGGAUGAAGGUCUUAGGAUUGUAAAAUUCUUUCACCGGGGACGAUAAUGACGGUACCCGGAGAAGAAGCCCCGGCUAACUUCGUG
rnacentral:rRNA from 1 species